GAGCAGAAGCUGGAUAAACAAGCCAAAGAAGAAGACGCUGUCAAAACAGCCUCCACUUUAUCCAAGUACUGCAUGCAUCUCCUUGCUUUUGCACCUAACCUCUUGCCCGACCACAGCUCCAUAUCGGAAUCCAUACUUGAUCAGUCAAUCGAUGAAGCAAGCAAGUUACUCAAAGAGGGCAAGAACAAGAAGAUCAAGGGCAAGGACAAGAAGAUCAAGGGCAAGAACAAGAAGAUUUUGGGAAGGUGUGAGAUACUAAUGGAAACUACUAAUACCGAUGGUUGUGUUGAUGAUGAAACAAGGCUUGUUGCGCAGGGCGUUCACCUUGCAAGGCAACUGAUUGAUAACAUACAAGACUCCACAACAAGGUGGAAGGUGCUAUCUGAUUUCUGGGCGGAGAUGAUGCUGUAUGUCUCGCCAUCCGAUGAUGCUCGGGACCACCUGGAAGUUCUUGCAAAAGGAGGGGAAUUCAUCACGCACCUUUGGGCGCUGCUCACGCAUGCCGGUGUGCUGAAGAGAGGCCCUACAGAGCCAAUAGAUGCUGUCUGAUCUUUCCAACUUAACCAGUGCACACGUAGCAGUCCAUAUAUCUACCUAGUGCUUGUAACAUUCUAUGUAUAUUGCCAACUGUCAUGUUUGGACACACCAACUUGUGGCACACCAUGUGUGAGUUAGUCUACCGAGGUCUGUAUCUCUUUUCAUGUCGAGUCUGUAUCUCUUUUGAUGUGGUGUCUGUUGUCAGAUUUUGGGCAGAGUAGGAUCUUUAGUAUCUGCAAGUUUUGUUAAGAAGAGCGCGCUUUCAGGUUGUCGGACAUGCGCUUUCAUAGUUUGUGAUUUUGGUGAUUAAUAUCAAAACACGAUCAUUAGGAGUGUCUAGAACAUGCCUUGAAGGUAUUCUAGGUUCUAAGGAAACAACCACAACCAAAGAUAAGAAAAGGAACGAAGAAAUCCAAGGAAACGGAUCAUCGGAUGUUCCGAUGGCCCUAGAGAUGGCGACGGAGCAAGCGUCGGAGUAAAUGGUACACUGCAAAGAAGUUCGGGCAGAGUCCACAAUCGGAUGUUCCGAUGGUUACAUUUCUAGUAGCGUCGGAUGAAUUCUGAGGGGUAGGCUUGAAAGCAUGUGUUGGAUGAUGUAAGCAUGCAGUCUUUGGAUGAUGCAACCAAAUUAAUGUAUAUAUGUUCGGUAAUUAAUGUUGUGUAUAAAUUUUUUUCCGUGCCAGAAAAACAAAGUGUCUCCAAAAGGCAUGUCUUUUAGUCACAGUCACUGUAACUGAAUUCUUUGCGUAGUUUGUUGUUGCUUAACUGCACACAUAAAUCAGUUUAACAUUCAAAUGAGUGAAGGGCAUCUUAGCAUGGUAAUUUCAUGCCUACUUGACACUUUUGCAACGUGCAAGACUUUUGUUGGUCUUCGAUUCUGGAGCCAAAGCUACUAGCGCACCCGAUCGAUGGGCCUCGCGAUUCCAUGCCAAAUCACGUGAUAGAAUGCCACUAGUUAGCACUUAUAGCACCAAACUGAAUUUGGUGCCUUGACCUAGGAUUAGUUUACACCCAAUAAUCCCAAGUUUUUUAUGUACCGCCAUAUAAAAUGCAAUUUAUUAAAACUGGUGAUGAAUGUGAUGCGACAAAAAUAUAGUACUUUUAUAUUGAUGUGUCAUCAACUUGGUGAUCAUUCCGAGUUUAUCAAGAUUCCAACCUUAGAGUUUGGAGGGGCUCUUUCUUCAAAGAUUAUUAACCCAGGCACGAUGGCAGACAUACAAUUAAUUACUGCAUGUGUUCUAGUCAGUAGGAUGGGUUAUCAGGUUUAUUAAAUACGUACUGAGGCGUAGCAUAUAUUGCAACUAGCAACAAUUUUAGCUUGUCAUCUUAAUUGUAUGUUUGCUUUCCAUGCAUUGUUCAUAUACCGUAUUUAGAUAGCAAAUUUUGCUCUUGCUCGUUUGAAGGUAAUCCUAUAUGUAUCCACGAGACAUAAAGUCGCUGAGCUUCGUCAGUCCAAAACGCACUAACUAGUUAGGUUGAGUGUUAGCAGUUUCCAUUGACAUACGAUCACCUAGUCUGGCAGCUAGAACGUGCGUGGAGUAAGAGUUAAGUAAGUUACAUACACACUGUUGUGACCCGAAACGUAUGAGAGUAGAUCAUCAUCAUUACAGUUGGAUGGAACUCUCUAUUUAUAGCCAUAGCGGCAGGCAUUUACAUUCCACAAAUGCCCCACCUCAACCACUAUAUUCCCGUUAUAUGCUCUACACAAUGGUCAUUUGGACAUCACGUUUUUUGUGCCACCUAACAGUUCCCUGAUUGACGCUCACUUAUCACCUCCGCGAAUCUCGGUAGGGUUGUCCGCACCUUUUUCCGUGUUCUUCAUCGUCGACGGCGACUAACUAUGGCACCAAGUUUGUCAUGUUUAGUGAAUCUAGAUAAGGACCUGGAUGUAGAAGCAAUGAUCGAAGAUGAGCUAAAAAAUCUGUCUGACAGUACAAGAAGAGGGAGCAGGAUUACCAAUCUGAAAGAACAGAGUUAUAAAAGGUCAUCAGACCCGCUGUUGGGGCUAAGGAAGAUAGGGAAUGGAUCCCGCUUCUGGCCAUUAACAGAUGAGGUAAGCUCGGAAGAUGAGCUUGAGGAUGACAAUUCUGUUGAAAAUGGAGAGGAUGACAGCUAUGCUGAAAUUGGAGAUAAAAAACCCCAUCUGACUUCAAUGGGAUGUAACUCAGAAACAUUACCAAGUAGUAGGAGUAUGGUGAUGGGAUACAAAAUCAAAAUCCCACAUAGGGCUAAAGAGAAAGGCAGUGGUAAAACAAGAGUUACUAAUAAGAAAAUCAAAACAUGGAAAGGUCCAUUGCCAAAAAGAGAUCAAACACCGAAAUUGUCACUAGGGGACAUGUGGGUGAAGGAUCUUAGGACAUAUGUGCUGCCAAAAGAAAACAUACGUCUUAAUUCAUUCUUGGAUGGUGAAUCAAAAGUUCUGGUAGCCGAUGAAGUUUCUGUUGAAGAAAGCACAUUUGCAAAGGAUACAAAGGAGUUUGAAUUUCAAAAUGAACAGUUGGUUAACCUUCAAGGACCAAUAAGAUGGGUUGGAUAUACUGGUUUUGUACACGUGGGAGCACAUUCAGUUUUCCAAUGCAUUGAUAGUUUGGGACGACUCCUUAAAAAUGGAGAAUUGAGGUGGAGACCUCAACCCAAACACAACCACAAACAAAUUCACAGAACAAUCCCCUCGAAGAAACAGAAGAGGAACUAGCCUCGGCCCUCAAACAGCUAAAAGCAUUGAAGAAGGAGAGCAGAGGGAGGGAGAGGAUAAGGGACCGGAGGGCCGGUGCACUAAAUUUAAAAGCCGGAGGGAGGUGAGGCGCGGAUGAAGGUACCUUUUAAUACCGGGUGGGGGUUCCACCUGGUACUAAAGGGUCACCUUUAGUGCCAGGUGGAGCCUCCACCCGCUACUAGGGCCUUUAGAGGUGUUGGAGUGGACACUUGUUGUCAGUUUACACAAGAUCUCAUGGCCAAGCUGAACUUAGGAUAAAAAUUAAAUACAAAAAGAAAAAUAAUUACUCAUAGUUUCCUCAGCUUGAAUAUUUGCACUGAAAAAAAAAGCUUUCACGCUGUCAAGAGGGAGUGAAAAUGAUUAGUUCUGUCGGCUGUUGCGUAGUGCUUUAAUGUCAGCUGCUUAAAAAAAACAUGUUGGAUGCUGAUCUUUAUUAUCACAUAUUAACAGGGCAAGUGGUAGUAUGUUAUAAAGAUUAGUCGUGACAUCAUUAGGAAUGAGAUGAGUCCGCAGUUGGCUGAAGUUGGAAGCAAGGAAUUUGUGUAUGUAUAUGUGUGUGUAUAUAUAUAUAUAUAUAUAUAUAUAUAUAUAUAUAUAUAUANNNNNNNNNNNNNNNNNNNNNNNNNNNNNNNNNNNNNNNNNNNNNNNNNNNNNNNNNNNNNNNNNNNNNNNNNNNNNNNNNNNNNNNNNNNNNNNNNNNNNNNNNNNNNNNNNNNNNNNNNNNNNNNNNNNNNNNNNNNNNNNNNNNNNNNNGUUUGCAUCUGGAACCGCAGUUUCCAAUUCCGCCGCCGUAUGCCCCUUCGCCGGACGCAGCGAUGCCCAGGGGAGGACGAUGCCGCUGUCCCGCCGGAAGCAACGCCCAGAGGACGGUGACGCCGCGACCCCGCCAACGUCUACUGCGUCUUCUCGGCCAACGUGAAACGCCGUGCUGUCCUCACGUUCUACGAAGAAGACGUUGACGCCCUGGGGUGGUUCCGCGCAGACGAGCAGGGACGGCCGCCGCUGUUACCGUCGUAAACGCGAGGACUGCUGCCUGUGCAGUCAUCAACGAGGAGAGGGGCUCCCGCAGAUUUCAGAGGUGGGCAGCGGAUGGCAUCCUCGUCAACGAAGGGCUGCUAUGCAUUCAGUUUGGUCAGUCAAACAGCCACUUUCAUACAGCCACUUUCCAAACUUUGAGAUGUAAUUCAAAUAUUCAAACCGAAUUUGACUUGACAAAGAGCUACUUUCAAUUGUUGACUAUGUAUCAUAGAUCCCAUUUUGCAUGUUGAUGCCCAUCAUUUACAUAUAGAGUGCAUCAAAAUAUUGAGCCAACGUCAGACCAAUGUUCACUAUCUUGAGAGUCGGACUCCAGGGUUCAGACUACUGAAAGUGAAAGAGAUAGCCCAUGCAUCAGGUUGUAGUUGCAGUUUGAACGUACAAGUUCAGUAUGCAAUAGUAUGCAGGUAGUAUUAUCCAAUGUUCACUGUCUUAAUGUACGGUCUUCAGAGUGGGAAUGGUCAUUGCCAUUCAGUUUAGACAAUGAACUCUAGACAGUGCAACUUCCAAGCUUUGAGCUCCAAACAAAUUUUUUUCCAGAUUGUUGUUGUGUCAUUGAAUAUUUGUACAAACUCUGAAUCGACGAAAUACAGUUCUCUAAUGGAUAUGCAUUGUGUUGUUACCUUUCAGACCACCUUGCCAGUGAUGGGUUGUCGGAGGAUAUUGUUUGAAGAAGCAGGGCCGUCCGCGCCGAGUAGGGACUCUGCGGAUAGCCCUUCACCGAAAAGGCUGGAGAUGAACGACAUGAGAGUCGCCGUCGACGUGAGAAAUACAGAAGUGCCGGAAAGGUCACCGCCACGAUCUGAACCGUCCUAGCUGGGAGAACGAGACACUAUUGACUCCUGCAUCAAAGUUCCAGAGAUGUUGGAGAGCUCCAACACUGGAUUUCGAACUCUGCCCACACAGAUAGGUUGCCAGCAAGGGAGUAAUGAGGAUCAAACCAUUACAACGGGAAGACAGGGUGUUGUGUUCUCGCCUCCGGAUACUUUGAACGCAAACCAGAUGAUUGCUAGUGAAGAAGAAAUUCCACCACAAACACACGUAAGUGAUGCAUGAUAAAUCUUUGUUUGAAUUGUACAAAGCAGUGAUAUGCAUAGUUAAAAAGCACAAAUGCAUGAGAGUAGUCAGUGAAAAUUUAUAUUAUGUCAUAUCUUUAAGGCUGUGAUGAUAAUUGAAUUUUCUACGCAAAUAUUGAUUCAUAUGACGGUGCAUUAGUAUAUGAUGUUAAUUGAAAUUAAUGUUAUUUGAAGCAGAAUGAAAGCAUGGAUCCAAAUAUGGUACCCAGAGAAGGGAUGUCAUUCCACACGGAAGCUGAAGCAAAGGCGUUCUACAUGAGAUAUGCACAACUGGCCGAGUUCGGCGUGAAAAUGUGCAACAAGAAAAAAUUCUCUAGAGUGAUGAGGUGUAGCUGUGAAAGAAAAGGAGAUUUUUAUAAAGGUGAUGAGGCUCUGCGAGUACGGAACAAGACAACAAUGAAGACGAAGUGCAAAGCUCAUCUGAAGUUUACGAGAGUGUAUGACAGUGAAGGCAACGAAGUAGAUAUGAUUAUAGAAAAGGCAAACCUAUUUCACAACCACCUGUUGCAUACGCCUUUGAAAACCAAGAAAAUGAGGUCACACAAGAGCACGAAACUAGUACUUUAUCAAAUAAUUGAUGAAUUGUAGGAAGCCGGCGUGAGUACGCAAAGUAUAAAGAAUGUAUUGCAAAAUAUGCAUGGGGGUGCAGAGCUUGUUCCGAUAACAUCGCGGGACAUAGAGAACAUGUAAAAGAACCUCACACAGUUUGUUAUUCCUAAAUAGUAAGGUUCAUGCCAAGCUAAAGUAUAUAAUCAUUGGUGUCGUUAAUGAAAUGUACUUACAAUUUAGAAGGAUAAAAUGUUGAGUUUUUUUAACCUGUUUUACAGGAAGGCCACUAAUGUACGGGAAGAACACGCAAAUGACAUAAACAAGCUUAUUGAAUUCUUCAAGGAUUGUGAGGCUCAAAACCCACAGUUCCGAUGGGAACCCAAGCUGGACUCUGAAGGUGUUAUACACAGCUUAUUCUGGAGUCAUGCAAGCAUGCAGGGCAAUUGUGCAGAUUUUGGUGAUGCAAUGAGCUUUGACACAACUCAUAAGACUAAUAUUUAUGAGAAACCACUAGCAAUGUUUGUUGGAUCAAACCACCAUCUGCAGAAUACAUUGUUUGGAUGUGCAUUGGUAGGAGAUGAAACAGCUGAAACUUUUGAAUGGGUGUUCAAAGCAUUCAAAAAGUGCAUGGGACAAAGUAGAACAAGGUGUAUCCUCACAGGUAAUAUGUUCAUCAUUGAUGUUUAUGAUAAAAAUAUUUGAUACAUGAGCAUAUACAACAAUUUAGAGCAAUUAAAGAACUAACAAUGAUGAAUUUGCAUCUUGUGGUAGACCAAGACCAGGCAAUGGGAGUGGCGAUUGCCAAAGAGUUCCCAGGGGUUGUUCAUAAGAUUUGCAGAUGGCAUGUGGUGAACAAGCACAUGCCACAUCUAACCAACCUCUUUGGGAUGUAUGCGAAGAAAAAUUUCAAGGACAAAUUUUAUUCUGUGCUAAACCACCCACUCACCCCUGUGGAGUUUGAGGCCGCUUGGCAGGAACUAUUGGAUCAGUUCGACCUACAAAAGGAUAGCACUUUAGAUAGCCUUUACUGCCAGCGAGAACUGUAUGUGCCGGCAUAUUUCAAAGACCAAUAUUGUGGCCGGAUGGCAUCGACACAGAGAAGCGAGAGCUCAAAUUUUGUUCUAAAGAAGUGUUUUGUUGACAAGCACACGGCUUUGCACAGGUUCGCCAAAAAAAUGCUUGACUUCAUGCAUUCACGUAAGAUGAAGGAGUCUAAAGAGUCGUACCAUGGAACGGUAACGUAACCAGCGUGUCAAUUCAUAUUUAUGGAGUGCGUGUAUAAAGAUCAUUUCCCUUAACUAACUGUUGCGCUUGUACUGUGACAGAGCAAAAGGCUCACAAGAAGCAAGUGGCCAUUUGAAAUACAGGUUUCACGAAUUUAUACUAGAAAUGUGUUCAAAGACUUUGAAAAGAAGAUGAUCGAUUGCACAGUUUUCGAUAUAGAAGACAAUCCAAUAGAGGGUGAAUCAUGCUAUCUGGUAACUCACACAAAUAGGUCUUCUAAAAUAUCUUGGGGGCAGCACCAGUUCAAAGUGCGUGCAAACAAAGAAAAUGGCGAGUUUCAUUGCGAGUGCAAGGAGUGGCAGCAUACAGGUACAUGAUAAAACUAUUACAAUAUUUAUAGCGUACAUCCCAAUUUCUUAUUAACAGUACAUAUACUCUCUUGGUUGUUUAGGUUUGUUCUGCGUGCACUUGUUGAGAGCCUUCAUGAGGAUCCAGCUAAAUAGAAUACCACAACAUUACAUUCUCCGUAGAUACACAAAAUAUGCACAGCAGGAGUUGGGAUUCGACAGGAAUGACAAGCUCCAAGUUGGGGCUGAUGGAGUCACACAGUUGUACAGACUCAAAGAUCUAACGUCCCUAGCAAUGGUUGCAGUCAGGUCUGGGAGCAUGUCGCGCGCUGCGCACAUUAGAACGAGAGAGGUGUUGGCAAAUCUUGACAAAGAUAACAAAGAAAUACCCCCUGACAUCGGGCCAAGCACAACAAACAUGCACCAAGAAUCACCUGGAGAGGUAAAAAUUCUAAAAUGUUGCAUGAAGUGUAUGUUGCAUGGCAAGGCACUUAACCGCAUACAUCUGGGUUUGAUUUUGCAGGAGUUAUCAGAUUGUAGUGAAAGUGAUGAUGACUAUGGUGACAACACAAAUGAUGAACAAUUGGCGAAAAGGGUUACCCAGAUAGGCUUGUAUCAUGAUACAGGUGUAUGCGAGUUACCACACUAGGAAAAAAGAUUUGCACAAUAACAAUGACACAAUGUGAAGCAGGAAUUGGGACAAGCAAACGUGGAUGGAAAUGAAGCUAGAGAGAGUAUAAAGGGGAAAAUGGUUCUUGCAGCAAAUCUGGUAUGAUUUGUCAUGGAAGUAGUAUAAAUACGGGAAAUACACAAGUUAACUUGCAUAUCAGCAAGAAAUAUUAAAAGAGAUGUGUUAAUUGUUUUUCAGGAUGCUUUUGGUGGAGACUUUGUGCGCAACGAGGUUGUGCUAACCAACCAAACAGUCAUGACAACUAAAGAUGCAAGAGUGCAUGAAGGAUGUGCAACCCACAGUGGCGAGGUUAGAAGAAUGAGUUUGGAAAUAAUUAAUGCCAUCACCAUUGUUGCAUUGAAUUUAAAGUUUGUGCAAUAAUCUUUGCAGUAUCAUGCCAAUGAUGAUAGACUGAUCAGCCGAGUCCCACCUACGAGAGCCAAGACUAAAGGGCGGAGCAUACCACCAUCUGAAAAGAAGGAAAUUUCGUUGGGAGCCAAAGGUGUGAAAAAGGGCACAAGGAGAUGCAGUAUUUGUGGGUACUACGCAACACAUAACGCGAGAACAUGUCCCAAACUCCAGCAUAACAAAGAGCGCUUGGAAGUAUUGAAGAACAGAAUGAGAGGCAGGCCACGAGGAGCACAGCAUAAGAGUAGUGCCAGCCAGCAUGAUAGUGGAGGAGAAGAGCAUAACAUAGGGCGACAGCAGGACACAAAGAAGUGCCAAGAAAACAAAUAUAUUGAUUACGAGAGCAAUGACGAGCAGUUUUUGUGGGAUUCGUCCAGUGCUCAUUGUAUAUAAAAGGGCAUUGGAUGUCUCUGUAAUAGAUAGGGAACAUUGCCAGUAGUAGUUCCUCUGAGCACGCCUCCGUGUGCAAUGAUGCCUAAGCGCAGAGACAUGUCUUUUGAAGAAUACUGGAAUCAUUAUCGGCAACGAGCGGUCUUGAAGGAUGUUCCAGACAUUUGUGAAAGUAGUGAAAAAACAAAAGAAGAACGUGGCAAAGGAAAGGUAAUCAAGAAGAAAGAGAAUAAGGUCAGGUGUAUUUACUCGGAAUAAUGUUUUUGUUCAGUAAGUUUAUUUACUAGAUGUCACAUAUUUAAUUAUCAAAUGUAUCAUUAAAUAGGAAGUGGCAAAGCCCAUAGAAAAACAGACUUCGUUCCAAAAGGAACACGACAAAUUUAUGAGCGAUAUAAUAUUUGAGGAGAUGUGCCUUGUGGAAGGGGAGCUUCCGGACAAACUAGCGAGGAAUGGGACAACAGAAGGCGAGAUUAGCACGGUGAGUUUUGAGUAUUUGAAAAGAAUAUGAAGGACAAUAGAAAAAGAUUAUUAUAUUGAAGAAUUAUCAUAGUGUGGUAUAAUACAUUUGCAGAAUGGGGAGAACACGGAGGCGGAGGUUUCCAGCAAGAUUGGACGGUGAAAAACAACAUCAAGGAAGCCAAGUAGCGAUUAAAUAAUUUACUUAAUAAUCGAGUGCAUAAACUGAUUUUUGUAAUAAGAGUAAUAUUUUAAUAAGGCAUUACCCUUGUCAUUGUGUACAUUCUUGAGUACCGACCCCAGUAUGCGAAUUCUGAUCGUGGCGAUAGUCAAGGUGUGAGAAUAUGUAAGAAUUAGUGCAACGGAGAACAUCCCUAUGCAGUGUUAGGUCCAUGAUUUCAUUUGUGGUUGUUUGAGAAUGGAUCAUGUGAUGUUGCAGCGUGAGAAAUUCUGCCCCCUGAGAUUUUUCAACACACGCUAACAGGAGAAACUGAACAUUGGGUAACACUCAUAUGCAAUAUGAUAGCAGCUUCCUUUCAAUGAAUCAGUUUUGUUUCUCCGAAUAUCUGUGCUGCUUAAAGGCGUAGAGAUGUUUCUGUCCGUCCCUACCUCCCUCAAUGUGCUAAGAGACAAAGUCAGUAUUACCUAUAAUCGAGCUCUUGUUUUACUGUGGAAAUCUUUGGCGUAAUUUUCUAUAGAGUAACAGAGCAUCACACACACGGCAAGUAAAAGGCGUAUAUCCACAAAUAUGGCACUUCAGACAUACGACAAAAAGGAUGAAACCUUGUGCUACAUUACUGGUGUCCCAUUUCCAUUGCCGUAGCAACAUGAAACAAACGAUCAGUUUAUAAUAUACAAAAGACUAGAAAUAGCGAUAGGAAAGCUAGACGCAGCGGCCUCAUAAGAGAGGCAUACAUGCUUAAAACAGAACAAAGAGAUGCGUCGGGACUGUCGCAGCAGCAUUAAUACACAUCAAAAAUGAGGUAUUCACAUGUCAGUCACAAAACUAAGCAUUGUUCAUGUAUGAAUCAUGAGAAUGUACAAUAUGCACAGCUACAAAAGAAUAAAAAAUUAAAUAGUAAAGGGUUGUAAUGAACAAAAAAAAACUAAUAGAAAAAAGGGUGAUGAUCAUCUCGACGGUACUGAAGGAUUUCGUCGGGCAGCGCGACAACCUUGUUCUGCUUAUGAAAAGUGAGGUAAUACAAGGUCUCAGCACGCAACUCUUUUGAUCGUUCCUGAAAUUUAAAGACAUAUAGCCAUGAAAAGUAAGAAACUGCAUGCGAAAGGGUAGAGUCUUGGGAAAAGACUUACAGCAGUGAUGCUAGUGUGUAGUGAGCCAUGUCCAUCACCAUCAUAGAACUCGAGAAACUUCAUGGCAAAGAAUGCACUGUCCGACAAGGCCUUCUGGACGGCAACCUUGACCGGGACAUGUCUCCAGUUCUUGAAUGAUUUAAAUUUGAGAGGUGCAGCAAUGGAGAGAGCAUCACUUAGUCGGUGCAUGAUUUUUUUCCCAAAUUCCAAAUGAUACUUGUCCCAAUUGUUGUCACACUCAGGGGUGUACAACAUUGAGUCAAGCACAUCAAUCCGUGAUUGGCCAAAGUUAACGCAAUAAACAGACCAAUGGUGCUGAUGUAGAACUGGUAGAAGAAUCUACACAGUGUGUAAAAAGAAGAAUUGACUUAUUUUUGCGAAAAUAUAAUAACAAGGACUUAUCUACUUAACUAAAUUCACGAGUACAACAUAUGCUGAAGCUACUCAAACACAUAAUUAUGAAACCAGCAAACUCAUGGCCAGAUUGGAGGACCAGAAAAAAAUGGACAAAAGCUAACCAAAAAAAAUAGUAGAUGUACCAUCUUUGUCUUCUUCAAGUCUGUGAAAGGAAGACAACGUUGGAUGGCUGUCACUGCUGCAAACUGGCUAUAUUUGGGUUCGGAGCUGUCCCUUUUGUGCCACUCAACAUUGAGAAUUGCCUUCAAGAAAAGAAAUGCCAUGGAAUAAAAAAAGUAUGAAAGAAUGGAAAAAUUUUAAUAUAUCUAGUGUCAAAGAAUGGCAAAAUAAAAGCUUACUGAGAGGCCAGCAUCAAAAAAAAAUUCUGUAGCCAUGGCACUCGGAUCCAAUAAUCAUCAUAGCUAAGACAUUUGACAAAUCCUGUGAUAAAAGUUGAGUCUGGGAUUGCACCAUCGGCAAAUGAUUGUGCAAUCAUGUCACAAGUUAAAGGGGUGCUACCAAACUGGAUCACCGGCAUGCUGUGGAUAUUACAAUCAGCAAAUGGAGAAAUAGAAAGUUUGGCUAUUAUAAGAUUUAGAAAUGGACAAAAGCUAACCUUUUCAAUGUGGAGUCAUCAGCGCACAUGUGUCCAAAGAGACUCAUUGCUGCGUCCACAUUGGGUGCAGGACGGGACAUAAUUCCAUACUUGAAGGGUGAAGAAUAUUUAGCAGGCUUCCGUGUCAUGCGUUUCCCUGUUCUCUGUUCUGACACAUGUAAAGUGCCUGACACCAUGUUAUUUUGAUCCUUUGGAAAGGUCAAAAUAACAUUUAGUUGGAAAAUAAUUAGCUGGAAGGAUUGCAACUCGAAUCGAAUGGAGUGGGUGGUAAUCGUGUCCAGUUAAACAUACAGUUUUGGCCUGGUCUUCAAAUUGGGUAGUGCGUGAUGCAGGGAGAGUAUGCAUAGGAUUUGAUUGCUCUUCACAAUAGAUGGCAUCAAUGAGAUUGUUGAUUCUAUUCAUAUCAUGGUUGCUGUCAGGCAAACUAGAAUAGGGUGGUAUUAUAUGAUCUGAAAAAUUAAUUUCAUGAAUACAGCGUUAAGCAUGAACAGAAAUGACUCCUAAACAAUUAAAGGCUGAGCAUAUGGGUAACAAUCCUGACAGCUGCAUAUUGUAAUGUAAGCCUGGAUACAACCUGGAAAAGAGAUAAAGAGAAAAUUCAGACUACAUAAAGCUAACCUGAGCAAGUAGUAGUACGUGCAUGGUCGUCCCUGCAAGCUUCUUGAUGAGGUUUAGUGCAAGGUGUAGUGCCACCAGUUUUAGAUGUGGCGGGAUCUGUGACCAAGAUUUCCAAAAUAACCGCUGUUAAGCUUUUAUGGUAAAGGGUCAUUACCGAGCAUUUUGCUUGUUGUAGUAUGCGAUAGGCAGUACCUGUGGUGUAUGAGUUUUGGCCGUUGCCAUCCCUUAAUACGUCAUCUCUGUAGCAAGAACUUGGGGUCCUGAAAACACCGCCGUUUCCAUGCUCGAAUAGUUGAUCUACAGAAAGUAAUGUACAGAAAAAUAAGUUGAAACUUUCAGAAGCAAUUUGAUUAGGAAUUGAAAAAAAGUACAUAAUCAGAAUGGAUUGUGGGGAUCGAUGUGUGCCACCGUUGUGAGGAUCGACAAAGUCCUCUUCGAUGCCUGAGUUGUUCCUCCGUGAAGUGUCCCCAAUAUUGUUAGGAUCAGAAGCCGACCUCUGGGCAGCAAUAAGCUCCUCUAUUACCGGUCCACACUUUUCAGCUAGACGAUAAGGAGCUCUAGCAAUGUUGCAUAGAGAAGCUUGGAUGGCACAAGUGUUCUCAGAUAAGGUUUGGUUAAACUGGUCGAACAAUUCAUUAAAUGCUUGCAAGGGGUGACCAGUGAGACAACCCAAUGGAUGGGACAAGAGAUCACGCAAACGUGGAAUACGAAUCUUAGGGACAUUAGUCAUGUCAUCCAAACCAACAUUGAAGUUCCUGGGUCUUGGUGGAGCCUGGCAUGUAUAAUGAUGUGUAAAAUUGAGUAUAUACAAGGAAAAAGAAAAUGACACUAAAAGUCAACCAUGUAAAAUAUAAGGAAACUACAUGGAACAUAUGUCAGGUUUUAGAAGUGAGUAAUGUACACAGAGCAACUAGAAGAAUAAUACAACACCGGGAAUUACUGCAUAUAUAUGUGCAUAGAUAUUGUGUGUGUAUUUGUAACAUGACAAUUCAAUUUAAUAUUUGGCACAUACCUCUGUGCCAUCCUGGGCAAGGAAAUAAUCGGUUAAUCGCCUAGAAUUAUCAGCUGCACUAUUCUUUUCCUUUGAAGAGCGGUGAGAGGACCGAAACUUCUUCCUACGGCGAUCUACAACCCCGGUGCGAUCAUCAGAAGCAUUCCUCAUACGGCGAACAGAUUUAUUGCACCCCGGAUCAUGGUCAUCCGCAAUAAAAUCAGCGCUAGGAUCAUCAGGAACAUAACUCUGUUGAGGAACAUUUCGGUUGGGUAGCUGUUGAAAAGACAAUCCAGGGCCACCACCCACUGGAUAAGAUGAUCGCAACUCGGGUCGAAGAAGAACCUCGAACCUGAAGUGAGAAAAAUGAAAGUAUAAAGUAUAGACCAUGAAUCAAUGAAAAUACAGUGGACUACAGGAGAGGCGGUGAAAUUAUAAACAUGCGCAUACCUCUCCUGUGUGCUCUCGAAUACAGCUAGCUUCGGGUUGAUAGGCAUCCUAUUCACCAACCGCUGACAAGUAUCUGUCCUGGGAGACAAAUCAAAUUGAACAUACUCUGUGUCAGUAAUAAUGAAUACAAUGAGUGGUUAGGAUCCAAAUAUGUUGUAGUUGUUUACAUGGAAUAUUUACAAACUGAAAAGAAUAAAAUGAUGUAAACGUUAUGACAGGCUUGGGAAAGCGGUAGAGAUGAGAACACAGACAAAAAUGAGUCACAUAAGACCUUCUAGUUGAGCAGAUCCGUGGAGAACCUUGCUGAACACCUUCUAACUGUAAGGGAACCGUAUCUACACAUGGAAGAAAAUAAUUAGAGAGAACUACAAAAACAACUCUUUCUUUACUCGUUUUCUAAAGAUUUAGCAGAUACCUGAAGACUCCAUGAGUAGGUAUGAAAAUGAAGGAAACCACAGCUCGGAGGGAUGAUGGCAGAGCUGCCUGGCAUGGGGGAGGAAAAGAGAUGUUAAUAAAGUAUAAAAAGAGUUGUUUUCGAGUGCAUCAUUAAUAUCAUAUGAAUCCUGUUACCGUGGUGGUUCUAAAAUACCUUUCUGUUUUAUUCUUCAAAAAGGAUUGACUCCAAAAUAAGAACAAUUGAGCUUGAUGGUAGGCGCAUAAAGUUGAAGAUCUGGGAUACUGCUGGGCAAGAACGUUUUUGAACUAUCAACUGGUACGCAAUAUGCUUCGUUUGCUGUGAGGAGCAGGUUCUUUAACUAUUUAUGUGAAACUGCUCUGAAUCUACAAACUUUUGACUAUGCAGCCUACUACAGGGGUGGAAUGGGCAAUUUGCUUGUGUAUGAUGUUACUGACGAGUCAUCAUUCAAUAGUGCGUAUUCUUCAACUUCAAUCAACAGACUUUGGCUUCCUAAACUGACCUUGCUGUGGUCAUUGGCAGAUAUAAGAAACUGGAUUAGGAACAUUGAGCAAGAUGCUUCUGACAAUGUGAACAAAAUUUUGAUAGGCAACAUAGCAGACAUGGAUGAAAGCAAACGGGUAUGUUCUGUUCUUCUUUAUUGUCUCUUGUCCAUGAUAUGCUGACAUCCUAUUUGCGAUUGUGCAUUUUAAUGUUCAGUUUAAAAUGAAAACGUAAAAUCUUACUGGUGCUUGGAAGUAUUGAUGAACUGGCUUCCUCAACUGACCUUGCUGUGGUCAUUGGCAGAUAUAAGAAACUGGAUUAGGAACAUUGAGCAACAUGCUUCUGACAAUGUGCUUGCAUUAGUUCUGGCAUAGAACUUCAUGAUGUGUUACCUACGGAACAAAGUUACCUACGGAAGAUGCGUGAAAUCAAAAGCUUAAAUCAGAUUGUUGAAUCUAAUGUCCGGCUCGGCCAUGGCUCGGCCAGCAGGAACUCGACAGCACUGCAUGAUGAAAGGAACGCACAAGAGCAACUGAUUAAAGAGAAGAACAAGGAUGCGACGGAGUACUAACCGACGAGGACCAGCGGAAUCAGCUGCGAAAUGCCAAAUUGAAGAUGACGGCCUGCGGGCGAGGUGCUAACAACUGAAUGCGGUGGAGGCCCUACCCGCCAGCAGCUGGGGAGCGGUGGAUGCGGGGGAUGCCGAGCGGCGGCGGCGGCGAGGGAUGGAGACUGGCGGUGACACGAGGAUCAGAGGGCGCGACGACAGCGGAGCGCGGCGAGCUUAGGGUUUGGGAGCGGCGGCGGCGGGGGAUGGCGAGCGGCGGCAGGGAGGGAUGGCGAGCAGCGGCGGCGGCAGGGGAUGGCGAGCGGCGGCGGGGAGGGAUGGCGAGCGGCGGCGGCGGGUGAUGGCGAGCAGCGGCGGGGAGGGGUGGCGAGCGGCGGCGGCGGGGGAUGGAGAGCGACGGCGCGCGGCGGGGGAUGGCGAGCUGUGGCGGUUCCUGCUAGGAGGAACUGGAACGGGAGGAUGUUGACCCACGUUCGGAGGAGCUAUAUAUAUAUAGCUAGGAACGUCAUGCUUGAGAUAUUUUGAAAUGUCUCUUUAUAAAUAAAUUUAUGAUGAGCAAUAUAUAACUUACGGAAUGAGAUAAGUUCAAGUAGGAACGACCAACAUAAUGCAUACACUACCUGGUCAAUGUCCAUAUCGGCUGGAAACUCAAAGUUGCUCUCUGUACGUAUCCUCAUAUGCAAACCAGAUGGUGUCGUCUGAUGGGAAUCAAUUGUAAAAAUCCUUAAAAUUCCCAGCUGCGGUUGAUACUGUCAGAGGAUCACCUGGGAGGGUUGAUGCUGCUUCACCGUGAGAUGUGCAUCGACAGCGAGUUACCCGUGCACCCUCAGCAUAGUCAGAAGGGAAAGUACUCUUGGUCAGAUCCUGACGAAUAUCAAAAUAAUCAUAGAAACUAAACAUAAAAAUGAUUAUGGACAAAUUACAUAUAUAUACUCACAACACUAUCCGUCGUUGCGUGAAUGAUGCACAAAUUACUAGUAUAGAAUUGGCAUUCGAUGCGCCCCCUUUUGUGCCGGUUUAAAGUUGGCCCGGGACAAAAGGGGUGCGCCACGGUAGGUAAAAAUGGAGGGGAGAGUUAGUCCCGGUUGGUAAUUGCAACCGGGACUAAAGGCCCUCCUUUAGUCCCGGUUGCAACGACUAGUUCCGGCGCGUUGGUGGCGGCACCCUUUUAUCCCGGUUGGAGGUUCCUUUUAUCUCGGUUGGAGCCUCCAACCGAGACAAAAUGUUUAGUCCCAGUUGGAACUUUCAACCGGGACAAAAGGUGUUUCGUUUUGUCUCGGUUGGAGUUUUUAACCGGGAUGAAAACUCAUUCCCAUUAUAUACCAAGAUAGAGGCCUUUCUUCCUCCUCCAGCCCGAGCCAGACCAGCACAUAGAUAGAGAGCUGAGCUUCACCUACUCUCCGGUGGUGCCGAAGCAAGGGAGGUGCUGCCCGAAGUUUUUUUCCUCAUUUUCGUGGGAAUUUCACUCAGCCAACACAAGUGUUGUGAAGGUUUGCUACUUCAUCCUCGUGUUAUGCUUUGAUUUAUGCUUUGGAGAUGGAAAGAUUAAUUGCUAGAAUGUGAUGAAGUAGAAAAUGGAGAGGUAUUUUGAGCUAGAAUGUGAGGGAGAUUGAUGUGUCAUAUAUAGUAUGUAUUCUUGCAGUGGUUUAAGAAUGAUGCUACCUUGCCUAGACGGUUUAUCUUAUCAAAUUCAAUAAGGUUUUUCAAAUCUAUACUUGUUGAACUUGCAUACCGUGUUCAUCUCUGCGAGCAUGUUCUCUGCCGAGCAGCAACGUAUGUCAAGAAGGAGGUUCGAUUCUACGAGAAAGAGUGGAUAUGGACAUCGUCACUGUGUCCCCUUUUCCAUAGCAUCGAACCUCUUUCAUGACGAAGUGCGAUGCCGCCUAGUUGAGAACAUGCUCGCGAGAUGAUCAUGGUCUUCAAGUUCAACAACUUCUGCAGUGCUAAGGAAAGUAUUUUUGUACAUAGAUGGCUUCUGCUACUUGCUGAACUUAUCAAAUUCAAUAUGGUUUUUCAAAUCCAUACUUGUUGAACUUGCAUACCGUGGUCAUCUCUGAGAGGAUGUUCUCCACCGAGCAGCAACAUAUGUCAAGAAGGAGGUUCGAUUCUACAAGAAAGAGUGGAUAUGGACAUCGUGACCGUGUCCCCUUUUCCGUAGAAUCGAACCUCUUUCAUGAAGAAGUGCGGUGCCGCCCAGUUGAGGACGUGCUCACGAGAUGAUCACGGUCUUCAAGUUCAACAAAUGAGACACUAAGCAUGGUCAUUUUCAUCAAAUGUGUUGCUUUUGGAGCUGGGGAGAAUGUAUUUUUAAUAUCAUGUAACUCGCUGAACUCGACCGGGCAUGUACCUCUGAAAACACCAUCUUGGAAGUACGCUAAAACUGCGUGGAAAGAUGAGUGUUCGGUCUACUUGCCAGGCAGGCUCAUACCUCAGAAAAUUCUGGUCGAAUAAAAUAUACAUUGAGGUUUACAAACCUGAGGUUUCCUUGAAACCAUGUUGCUAGCAAACUACCAAAAGUAGGCCAAGCAAGAGAACAAAGAUGUCAAUUUCUCAGCGUUGGAGGGGAGUCCUUAUUUAAUAUAUUAAGGAAUAUCUGCCUUGUUUAUUCACUACUGUACAACAUUAUAAGCAAGUGGUUGCAACUUGGAACAUAUAUAGGUGGGGCCAUGUCGUAUGUCCUUCAUUCAAUCAGGGCCGCCACAUCAACGUCUUUACCUUGGGCACAAGUGGCAAAUGGAACAACAACUUGCACGCAUAUGAUGAAGAGUCCUACCCGCGUACUGCUUUAAUUUUUUAUUUUUGUUGAUGACAGGCUGGCUGAUGUUAUGGGUGCGUCUCAGUUCUAUAAAUAAAGGAGGAAACGUGGUUGCCUAUUUUGACUCACCACGGAUGCAUGUUUAUAUAGGACCAACCGCUCAAGAUAUAUACAAGAUCUCGUCAUCGUACGUGACUCGGAUACCGUUUACAAAAGACUUAUCUCUAAUCUACCUCUAAGUAUCCGAAUCAACUAAGGAUGACAAAGUAGUUGGAACUGUUUACACAAGAUAUUCUAUUCUAACAUCCUCCCUCAAUCUAAACUUCUCUUCUUGAGAUUUAGAUGGUGCUUGAAGUCUUCUAACUUGCCGGCUAUCAAAGCUUUAGUAAAACCAUCCGCAACUUGAUCAUGAUACUAAUCUGACUUGUAAUUGCUUCUUGGCAACCCUCUCUUGUACAAAGUGAAAAUCAAUCUCUAUAUAUUUUGCACGAGCAUGAAAAACUGGAUUUGCUGAAAGAUAUGUGACCCCCAAAUUAUCACACCAUAAGAUAGGUGGUUGUGUCAACUUUACUCAAGUUCAAGCAACAAAGAUUCUAACCAAAUCAAUUCUAUAGUAACAUUUGCCAUAGAAUUAUAUUCUGCUUCAGUACUAGAUCUUGAAAUUGUACCUUGCUUUCUAUCACUCCAAGAUACAAGAUUAGGAUCAAAGAAUAUUGCAAACCCCCCUGUAGAUUUUUCAUCAUCAACACUACUAGCCCAAUCAGUAUGAGAAAAUGCACUCAAUGUCAUUGAACUAGACCUUCUCAUAUGCAAUCCAACAUUCAAGGUACUAGAGAAUCAACCCAUCAUCGUCUUCAUGUCUUGUCUAACAUGUACUGACGUGACAGGAAUUUGCCAUGCGACGACCGCCAAUAUGCUAGUCUCCGCACAAGCUAGCAACGUCCAAGGAGACUGCACACAGUCUCCCUUCAGUGAAUUAUAUAUGUGUGUAAAUAUAAAAGGCAGCAACAUUCAUGAAAUGUCGACCACUAAGAUCGUGGAUUCACAUUUAGCGAAAUGUCUCUAAAUGGUUCUUACAUUAUAAUAAUAUAAAAGAUCUCUGUUGACUUCACGAGUCAAGAUAACAGUGACACUGUUCUUUUUGCCACCACAGAAAUAUACUCACAUAGCGUGUGACAAAUAAAUAAAGGAAACACAUAUUUAUUUAAAUUCUUAGUUUGUAUUUGGUUUGCGAACGAGAUGGUUCUCUUCGUCCUAGUGUUCUGUUGACUUCACGAGUCAAGAUAACAGUAACACUGUUUUUUUCGCCACCAUAAAAAAUACUUGUCAGAUACCGUGUGACAAACAGAUAGAGAAAAUACAUAUUUAAUUAAACUCUUAGUUUUUUUUGUUUGCGAACAAGAUGGUUGUGUCUGUCCUAGUUUUUUAGAUGGGAUAUCCCUUCUUUUGCUUGGUUAAGGGAAUAGUGUCACCUCUAUUUUAUAUAUUUCAUAGCAGGGAUAAGGAGAAAGAGGAUGGAUAGCUGUUUUCAAUACGUGAACCACCAUUAGCAUGGGCCUUAGUUGUUAGCUCCAACAGCGGAGGUUAGCGAUGAGGACGGAGACCGGCACGCGGACUCAGUAGUGGAGCUGUGUGGCCUUGGCCAUGGCAAGAGAAGAUGGGAGGCAGUGCCACCAUGGCUGCCCGUCUGUGCUUCAUUCACCCGCCAUUUACCAUCAACCCGAGCUGCUUGCCGUCGGUCAGAGCUACCGCAGUGUCAAUUCAAUCCACCAUUCUCUUCCAUGCUACACUCACCACCUCACCGUUGAGCUGACUCGUACCUCAGCCAUGGACAGCCGCCAUUGACGCCAGAACAUGAAGAUGGGACACAUUUAACGAUGCCAAAGUAGGAUGAAUUGUUAAAAUUUUUUUAAGAACCCGAUUAAUUCCUUGGGUGGGGUGACGCGCAAUCCUAGCAAUCCCUGAUCCAAACAAUAUCAUAAACUUGGGAUAUCCUGCUUUGUCUUGGUUUCCACAAACUAAAUCUGACUCCCUCCGAUUCAAAUUGUAAGUUGUUUUGGCAUUGUAUAUAGGUUUUAUGAUGCACCUAGAUAUACGUUAUGUCAAUAUAUAUAGUAAACCUAUGUAUUUCAAAAAGUCAAAACAACUUACAAUUUGUAAGGGAGUAUAUUAGUGGUGAAAGAAGCCUAACUCUCUUAAUUUCUCUAAGCUUUUGAAAUAGAGCACAACUUCAAGUUGUUGUAGGAGAUUCGGGUGUAUAUAUGUAAAUUUCCUUGCUUUGACAUUUCUUCAUCUAAGAAAAUACAAAAGUGUAGCAAUCCUCAAAAUCUCGACGACUACCCAGUUCAUUCAUGUAUUCACACUUGUUUGUUGUUACUGAAAAGUUUUGUGUUCCUUACAUGACACCCAAGUCCUAUCUUUUAUUCCUUAUUUGAUAUUUUUAACACUUGUGUCACUUCAGUCGAAUGAAACAACCAUCAAAUCAUCUUCAAAAUUCAUGAAACUUUUUUUGUAAUAGAACAAAUGAAGAUAAAUCCAUUUUGCUUAAAUUCGCUAUGUAAGUUUUGCUAGGAAAUAGUUUAAUAAGUUCUAGCAUCUGAUGUGAGAAAUAUUAGUUAUUUUCUUAUAAUUUUCAAAAGUGUGUCGAUGCCAUCAAAAUUCAGAUAAUUUUAGAAGCAGCCUAAUUUGGUGAAUUUUAGUUUUAAAACUGUAAAGGUUUAUGUGUCCUUUAUAUCAAAAUGGGUUAAUAUUCGUUUGUUGUAUCCCUACAAAAAGUUUCAUGAUUUUUGGAGGUGAUUUGGAGAUUGUUUCACCUAACUAACUAACAUAAGUGAUGGAAAUGUCAAAUAAGGAAUGAAAGUUCGAAGUUGGUGACAUAUUUUGAAGGAAAAACUUUCCAGGAUCAAGAAAGGAAUUAACUCAUCUUCGAGUGUCAAAUAAGAAACUUUCUCUAAGAAGAAUCGAAGAAUAUUCUUCAAAUACAAAGAUGGUAAUGACCAUGUUUCUAAUUGGCCCAGUACACACUUGUUAAAGUUUAGCCGCGUUCGUUGUUCGUGUGUCGUGGCAGCCCCGUGAUUUUGAGAUGGAAGGAUAAAGAACAACACAACUUUAUUACGCAUGCAUUGGGUGACGUAAGCAUGCAAUCCCUGGAUGACUUCACCAAGUCAGCAUAUAUCAAGUACAGUUGUGUUUUCUUCCCCACGCUACCACAAAAAAUUGUAGUCCAAAACCACGUCUCAGUCAUCCUCAUUCUAUGCCAAAUUUUUGUCUAUUUUUCCCUUGCUAAAUUGCACAAUAAAUGUGUUCUUUUUUUCCAUGAGUGAAGAGUAAUGAAGCAUGGUCAUUUUCUUGCCCAUCUGGCCACCUUUGUAGAAUGUUCAAGUCUAAAUGAGUUAUAUUUGGACAGGGGUACACUAUGGGAAACAACAACUUUGCCGAGUGCCUGGGAGCACUUGGCGAAGCCCCUAAAACACUCAACAAAUACCUCCUUUGUCGAGUGCCCGAUAUAAUGCACUCGGUAAAUAAAAAAUACUCGGCAUUUUAAAUGUUUUCCGUAGUGGUAGUACGUAUUCAAAAUCGUGUUCCUCAAUGAACUCGAUCAAGUACUUCUGAAUACAAACCGAGACUAAAGGGUCUGAGGACUUUUGUCCUUUUUCACCCACCCAUGGGGGACCCUUUAGUCCCGGUUGGUGUGAUUUUUUCACCUGGGACUAAAGGGUCUGUCACGGGUGGCUGAUUUUUGACUCGGGACUAAAGGGGGCUUUAAUCUCGAUUGGUAUUUGACCCGGGAUUAAGACCCCUUCAGUCAUAAGCCAGCUUUAAACCGGGAUAAAAGGAGGCGCAUGGAAGAUGAGUUCUCUACCAGUGAUACCAAUGCUAGACUUGUUUUAACAUUUAUUUCAUUUCAACAAAAAUUCGAAGCCAAAGACUAAAUAUUUACAUAACCAGGAUGUAUAUAGAACUUUUUGACUGCUAUUUGUCAAAAAAAAAACACCAUUCCUUGUUAGCCAAUAGCAUAGCAAAAUCUACCUCACAAUAUCAGUAUGCACAACCAGGAAGUAAAAAAAAAGCAUGAAAUCAAACAAAAAAAACAAAUCAAGUUUUACAUUCAAGCUGGUAUAGUCCUUCUGCUUGAUAUUUCUGUGCAAAUGGAAUAAAUCUUAAAACAAGUCAAACUGGGAAAUUUGCGGGAGCCACCUUGCUAGUUUGCUAGAAAUAAAAGUAGCAAUUAGGAUUUCAUUCUAUGCUAUAUAUAUACAGCCUCAGGCCGGGCUCUCCAGGACUCCAAACUGUGUACUCUCUUCAUUGUGUGGUGAGGUAGAGAACUAGGGAUCCCACCCUGAUAAGAUUCCUCUGGUGGAGAAAACCGUGGCUACUGCCGACAUGGCUUUGGCACCAAGUCCCACUCCCCAAGUUGAUGCUUUGCUACGACAUUCGCAACGUCAUGAUAUGCUAUCUUUGGACUACGUGGUAGCCCUGUUCUUCGUGGCCGUGGUGGCCAUGUUCCUUUUGCAUAUAUUGGGUCCGUUACGCCGGUGGUUGAGCCACGGUCUCCUCCAUCACAUCGUGAUGGGAGUCUACACUCUCUCCUACCCAUUGGUGGGCUACACCAUUGGGCUGAUGCAGUCUACCAAGUAUUUGUACUUGAACGACUUCACCGUGUGGGCUGUGUUCCUGCUUCUGCUCCUCACCAGCACGGACAGCCUCACGGCUUGCCGCCUCGACGACAUCGACAACUGGAAGAGCAUCUACGUCAAACAGCUCUUUAAGGGAUUCAUCGUGGUGUUUAUCGUUCUAAAGUUUUGCAUUUACAUGGAGUUGGCUUCGAAUUUGAACUACCUGUGGUACCCGCUCUCAGCCAUCCUGGUCGUUAUCGUCCUCAAGUCAUAUCUGAUGAUAGCUUCCAUGAGGAUGGUGAGCAAGUCCUACCACGGCAAGAACGUGAAGGUGAUCGCCGAAUACAUGCAGCAUAUAGACAACAAGCUGGUGGCCUUCGAUCCUGUGACCAUGGAAGGCUACCGGUACAUGGUCGCCGGUGAGAAACACUGCGUUAACCAGCCUGGGCACACACCAUGGUACAAGAAGCCGGACGACUUGAAGCUUACCACCGUGGAGCAGAUCUGGCAGUGCGAGGGGAAUCUGCUCAUUGGUGAUCAGGGCAAGGUGCUCAAGGACUUGUGCCUCUCUAUGGCUCUCUCCAAGAUGCUCAACCGCAGGUUUGCUGGCUUCAAGCUCUCAGAGGCAGAGCUUGAGAAAACCCAUGACUUCGUAUUCAAAGGCCUGCUCGCCGGGGAUGAGCAGCGGGUCUUCAGGGUCAUUGAGGAGGAGCUUGUUUUUGUCCAUGACAUGUAUUACACAAGGUACUCUUACCUCUACCAAAAGGGUAGAUACCUGGCUCUCUGUCUGCCUGUCAUCAUGUCUGCCCUAUGCUUGUGGCUCACAGUGGCCAGCCUGCACGUCAAGCGUGACGAGCACACCGAUCUCAGUAUUGAUAGCUUUCAGGAUCUGAUGAAUGCCGCCUCAUACAUCAUGUUUAAACAUAUAACUUCUGGCAGUCUGAUGUCUGGCACCAUAGUGAUAACGGUUGUCUUGGCAUUCCUGGAGGCAUACCAGCUGUACCUGUACAUGGCCUCAGGUUGGUUCAAGGUGGCUCUGAUACGGAGCUACGUCACCGCACCAUUUUUGCAAACAAGCUAUUGUUCUGAGAUGAUCAUACGUCUUCUCUUGAUGUUGAAGCCGUUUCGCCCAUGGAAGGGCAGACUUGGGCAGUACUGUUUCCUCGAGAAUCUUGGGCGCAAAAGUAAGGUUAUGAGUUGUCUCCAUUAUGGUACACUGUGCAUGGUGGACAAGGCCAUGAAGGGAAGCAAGAAAUCAGUGAAGCUGUCCAAAGAUGUGAAGAAAGCCAUCAUUGAUUCCCUACUAGCAAGCAACGGACACCUGACGAACGGGGUAACAUCGCUGCAAAGAAAUGGCGUCCAUGAUGACCUCAAAUGGGCAUGUGAUGGUACUGCUACUGACGGAGCGGUGGCUCGCACCAUUGUGGUCUGGCACAUUGCUACAACCCUGUGCGAGCAGAAGCUAGAUAAACAAGCCAAAGAACAAGACGCUGUCAAAACAGCCUCCACUUUAUCCAAGUACUGCAUGCAUCUCCUUGCUUUUGCACCUAACCUCUUGCCCGACCAUAGCUCCAUAUCAGAAUCCAUACUUCGUCAGUCAAUCGACGAAGCAAGCAAGAUACUCAAAGAGGCCAAGAACAACAAGAUCGAUGGCAGGUGUGAGACAUUAAUGGAAAUUAACACCGA
rnacentral:lncRNA from 1 species